CACCAGGGAGACCAGAGGAGAUAAGAUUCCAAGUUCUGAGCCUUGAACAAAGGGGUUACAGAGUUUUUAGAGACCUACAACAGUGGGCAAUACUAGCUGCAAACAGGUUGCUUUAAACUAAGGGGUUUCAUGCAUGUGGGAACAGUGAUCAAGAUGGGGAGGGGGAUGCCUGACCUGGACAGGCAUGAUUAAGCAGGUUUGCAGGGACCAGACAACUGCAAAGACCAGGACAAGGGUGUCCUCCAUCACAGGAAGUUUCUGCCUCCUUGACUCUGGUGUGGUGGAUCCAAGGGAUGACGCCUGUAACUUUAUCAACAGUAGGGGUUGCAAGGAUGACCAAGUGAGGGCCUGUCCAAACUGGCUGAAGUGGUUCUGUUUGUUCAUCUUUCACCCAUAUCUCAUCUCCUGGCUGACAGUAAUGUGUGUUACACUUUCAGCUGGGCUCAGCUGAGUGGUUCUGCUGCUGGUCUCUCCCAAGAUGGCUCUUUGCAUUCAUGCCAACGGAUAUACGUGUGGUCAGAACACAGUCUACCCUCUUGGCACAUGUCAAGUAUUCAGCACGGUACUGUUAAUUCCAAUCACCACAUGGCACAGGAGGUCUCCAGGACUCACUCAUCUUGUGCACAUGAAUCUCUGUGCCUUGACCCACUCCCCAUUUCCUCCAGCCCCUGAUACCCAUACUUUGUGAUUCUGUGAAUUUGCCUUGUUUACGUUCCACACACAAGUAAGAUCAUGCAGUAUUCGUCGUUCUGUUUUUGACUUAUUUCACUUAGCAUAACAGCUUUGCCAAUAAAGAUCCAUCUAGUCAGGGUUAUGGUUUUUCCAGUAGUCAUGUAUGGAUGUGAGAGCUGGACCAUAAAGAAAGCUGGGCCCUGAAGAAUUGAUGCUUUUGAACUGUGGUGUUGGAGAAGACUCUUGAGAGUCCCUUGGACUGCAAGGAGAUCUCACCAGUCAAUCCUAGAGGAAAUCAGUCCUAGGUGUUCAUUGGAAGGACUGAUGCUAAAGCUGAAGCUCCAAUACUUUAGCCACCUGAUAAGAAGAACUGGCUCAUUUGAAAAAACCCUGAUGCUGGGAAAGAUUGAAGGCGGGAAGAGAAGAGGAUGACAGAGGAUGAGAUGGCUGGAUCGCAUCACUGACUCGAUGGGCAUGAGUGAACAAGCUCUGGGAGUUGGCGAUGGACAGGGAGGUGAUCUGGGGUGCUGCAGUCCAUGGGGUCGCAAAGACUUGGAUAUGACUGAGCAACUGAACUGAACUUAGCAUUACGUCCAGGUUCAUCUAUGUGGCUGCAAAUGUCAGAAUCUCCUUCUUUAAGGCUCAAUAAAAGUCCAC
rnacentral:lncRNA from 1 species